AGAGUUGAUCCUGGCUCAGGAUGAACGCUGGCGGCGUGCUUAACACAUGCAAGUCGAACGAAGCAACUUAUCACGAUCCCUUCGGGGUGACGAUUGUUGACUGAGUGGCGGACGGGUGAGUAACGCGUGGGUAACCUGCCUUGUACAGGGGGACAACAGUUGGAAACGACUGCUAAUACCGCAUAAGCGCACAGCUUCGCAUGAAGAAGUGUGAAAAGAUUUUUCGGUACAAGAUGGACCCGCGUCUGAUUAGCUAGUUGGUGAGGUAACGGCCCACCAAGGCGACGAUCAGUAGCCGACCUGAGAGGGUGACCGGCCACAUUGGGACUGAGACACGGCCCAAACUCCUACGGGAGGCAGCAGUGGGGAAUAUUGCACAAUGGGCGAAAGCCUGAUGCAAGCGACGCCGCGUGAGCGAAGAAGUAUUUCGGUAUGUAAAGCUCUAUCAGCAGGGAAGAUAAUGACGGUACCUGACUAAGAAGCACCGGCUAAAUACGUGCCAGCCGCGGC
rnacentral:rRNA from 1 species